CAGGCUCCUUCCUAUCUCAGCAGUAUCUUUUGAAUUGAGGAAAGGAUGAUUUGAUGGUUAUAUUGGCUUUAGGUCUUGCUGACGUGAACUCUUAGCACCUUAUUGUAUUUUAGACAAUAGCAUGCGAUUUCAUGUUGACCGGUGACUUGCACAGCACGAGCAGCACCAUUACAGAGACUGGGAAAUGUAGGAGAAGUAGCUGAGACGAGUCGCAUCUUCCAUUAGCUCUAUUUUUCUUCUUCUUAUUCUUUUGUUAUGUUCAAAUAAUUGUCAGGCAAAGGAGAUCUCUUAUGUUUCAGGGUUUUGUUUUGAAGAGAAUGUGAGCAGAUGAAUAAUUGGUAUUUUGGCUUCAGAUAAUAGUGAUUGCGUUUGCAUUGUGAUACUCUUGGACAUUUGACUUUUCAAUCUACCCUGAAGUAUGUCGGAUAAGGAUUUUCAUGUAAUAAUGGCUUGACAAUGCUAAUUGCAUUUGUGGAUGUCUCAGAACUGAUUAUACAUAGUGUUAUAGACUUGGCUAAAAACUUUGUAAAUUAUCGGUUUGGUUAGAGCAUAAUGACAUCCCCAGUUCCAACUUGCAACCAGACUUGCUCCUUCUUUAUUGUACUAAUUUUUGUGUUACUGAUGGAUAUAUAUAAUUAAAAUGGAAUAAUUAAUUCUACUUGAUAGGGAAUAUCAAUCCCACCAGGCAUUGCUCCCUGGCUAAGAAGGAUGUUGAAUGUGAAAGAUAGAUGGGGUUUAUGAGGAGUUCUGUUGUGGUAUUUCUGCAAUUAAUAACCAAAAUCACAUGUUCAAUUUGAAUUAUUCGGUGCACCUUGGAUUUCUUUUUUUUUUUUUUUUUUUCUUUUUUUUUUUUAAAAUUGAUAUGAAGAACUUUAAUGUUGUUUUUUUGGUUAUUGAUAUGGGUGAAAUCACUAUCAAUGAUUGCUUGUGUAUCUAAGUAAAAAAUCAUCGCUAUAAAAGUCAAUCCUAUUAAACUGCAUUGGUGUAAAAUGAUAACUGGAGAACUAGCAGUUCAAAAGCAAGAAACAACCAAAUCAGCUGCCCGAGGAUGGAUAAAAUGAUAUCAACUUUAAUACUCAAUUUUGACAUAAUCGUCUAUCACUUACAGUUACAGUAGUGAGUUGUCUUGUUAUCACUGGUGGAUUAGGGUUUAGGGUUUUGUUGUCUGUUUGUGAGGCAUGAUUUAGGAUUUUCAAUUUUUGCUAUGUGCUAAUGAUUGUUUAUAAGGUUUAGGUUUGGGAUAUCAGAGGUUUGUCUUGAGGAAUGCAAUGUUUAGCAGAAUAACUCUAGCAUAUUGAUUAUGACAUCAAACGGAAUUAAGGAGAUAGUCAAUAUUGAGAUGCAUCUUUUGACUCUGGUAAAUCUUCUAAUUUUCCAUUGUACAGGCUCCUUCCUAUCUCAGCAGUAUCUUUUGAAUUGAGGAAAGGAUGAUUUGAUGGUUAUAUUGGCUUUAGGUCUUGCUGACGUGAACUCUUAGCACCUUAUUGUAUUUUAGACAAUAGCAUGCGAUUUCAUGUUGACCGGUGACUUGCACAGCACGAGCAGCACCAUUACAGAGACUGGGAAAUGUAGGAGAAGUAGCUGAGACGAGUCGCAUCUUCCAUUAGCUCUAUUUUUCUUCUUCUUAUUCUUUUGUUAUGUUCAAAUAAUUGUCAGGCAAAGGAGAUCUCUUAUGUUUCAGGGUUUUGUUUUGAAGAGAAUGUGAGCAGAUGAAUAAUUGGUAUUUUGGCUUCAGAUAAUAGUGAUUGCGUUUGCAUUGUGAUACUCUUGGACAUUUGACUUUUCAAUCUACCCUGAAGUAUGUCGGAUAAGGAUUUUCAUGUAAUAAUGGCUUGACAAUGCUAAUUGCAUUUGUGGAUGUCUCAGAACUGAUUAUACAUAGUGUUAUAGACUUGGCUAAAAACUUUGUAAAUUAUCGGUUUGGUUAGAGCAUAAUGACAUCCCCAGUUCCAACUUGCAACCAGACUUGCUCCUUCUUUAUUGUACUAAUUUUUGUGUUACUG
rnacentral:lncRNA from 1 species